UGGCGGAAUUGGUAGACGCACCAGGUUUAGGUCCUGGCGCUGAAAGGCGUGAAGGUUCGAGUCCUUUCGGCCGCACCA
rnacentral:tRNA from 1 species